UCUUUUUUUUUUUUCUUCCCUCUACUUUUUCUUCUUUUCCAAAGAAAAGGUAGAAAUAAAGUGAUGCUCUUUUCUCACCUAUUUCCCUCUUCAUUUUCUACCUUUCCAAUCAUGGCAUGACUCAUGAGGAUCAUAAGAUAAAAAUAAGAGUAGCGAAUGUUGUUUUAAAACUUCCUAUUGGUGUGCAUGAGUGGAAAAAUGUAUUUUUCUACAAGUAUGACCAAUUAGUUUAAAGAGAGGUUAUAGCUAAUUUAUUAGGUGAAAUAAAAAUUUUAGAAUUUUUGCUCAUUUGAUUUAUUUUAUUACAAGCAAAGUGAAAUAGACUCACAAUGCUCCAGAGUACACAGUAGGA
rnacentral:misc_RNA from 1 species